rnacentral:rRNA from 1 species
AGAGUUUGAUCCUGGCUCAGGAUGAACGCUAGCGGCAGGCUUAACACAUGCAAGUCGAGGGGCAGCGCGGGGUAGCAAUACCCUGGCGGCGACCGGCGGAAGGGUGCGUAACACGUGAGCGACUUGCCCGUCACAGGGAGAUAACCGGCGGAAACGGCGACUAAUAUCCCAUAUGAUCCGGUGCCACAUGGCGUCGGAUUGAAAGAUUCAUCGGUGACGGAUAGGCUCGCGGGACAUUAGCUAGACGGCGGGGCAACGGCCCACCGUGGCGACGAUGUCUAGGGGUUCUGAGAGGAAGAUCCCCCACACUGGAACUGAGACACGGUCCAGACUCCUACGGGAGGCAGCAGUGAGGAAUAUUGGUCAAUGGGCGGAAGCCUGAACCAGCCAUGCCGCGUGAAGGAAUAAGGCCCUAUGGGUCGUAAACUUCUUUAGACGCAGAGCAAUAAGGUCCACGAGUGGAUCGAUGAGAGUAUGCGUAGAAUAAGCAUCGGCUAACUCCGUGCCAGCAGCCGCGGUAAUACGGGGGAUGCGAGCGUUAUCCGGAUUUAUUGGGUUUAAAGGGUGCGUAGGCGGCAAGGUAAGUCAGCGGUGAAAGACCAGGGCUCAACUCUGGAAGUGCCGUUGAUACUGUCUGGCUAGAAUGAUUCCGCCGUGGGAGGAAUGAGUAGUGUAGCGGUGAAAUGCAUAGAUAUUACUCAGAACACCGAUUGCGAAGGCAUCUCACGAGGGGUUCAUUGACGCUGAGGCACGAAAGCGUGGGGAUCGAACAGGAUUAGAUACCCUGGUAGUCCACGCAGUAAACGAUGAUGGCUAACUGUCGGGCCUUAGGGUUCGGCGGCCAAGCGAAAGCGAUAAGCCAUCCACCUGGGGAGUACGACCGCAAGGUUGAAACUCAAAGGAAUUGACGGGGGCCCGCACAAGCGGAGGAACAUGUGGUUUAA